CCGGAGGCAAAAUAGAUAUCUAGAAGGGGGGUUGAAUAGAUAAUUAAAAAAAUUUCUUUUAAACUCGUUAGUAUGAUUGUGAUUAAUGCACAGUGGAAUGAGUAUAUGAUAAACCUUCUUUGAGAUAUCUUGAAUUAAUGAGAGUGAGACAGUUAUGACAGUUAUAGCAGUUAUAGCAGUUAUAAUGUACAUAGUAGUUUUAAGUGGUUCAGAGCACUAAAAGCUCCUAAUCCACUCUUCUACUCCUUGAGUAGGAAAUCCACUAAGGAUAUCUGUUACACUUCUUGAAUCUCACAGAUUCGUUCUAGACCAGCAGUCUUGGCACUUCUUAGUUCACUCUUGAACUCUUCAAGUCCAGCAGACUUGGUUCUUUACAGUUCACUUAGAACUCUUCAAGUCCUUCAGACUUGGAACUUCUCACUUCAGUUGAUUGGUUGUUGUUGAGAUCGUGAUUGGUGCUACUCAGUUGCUAUUAAGCACUUGUUCGAAAGAACUGAGUAGCUGAGCAAGCUUUCUAUCUUUCUCGGAUCGUAGAGUUGAGCGUUGAGUGUUCUUGCACGUUUUUGUUCAAUACUUGCUUAUCUUUCUCAUCUGUCUGUGUUUUGUAUAUAUGUGAUCUUGAAAUCUAUCCGUUGAAGCCUUUUGAAGAAGCAUUAAAUGCGUUUGACCUUUCUGAACUUUGAUGGAGACUUUUUUGCACAUCUUCUGAAUUUCACUCUGGCCCACUGACACAUUAGACUGCUUUCUCACCUAACACCUGAAAAGGUAUUUUCCUCUGCCCAAUGGUCCUUUUCUUAGCUUCUUGGAUACGUUCCUUUUGAUCAAUACUAAGGAUAUCUUUUAUACCGUUGGGACUGGUGAGUGCUUCAACGUUCAAAACCCAUUCCAUAUUUGUUGGAAUUCAUCUCCAAACAAAAGGUAGGGUUUGAUGCUUCUGACACAAGGUAGAUGAUACUCUACUAUCCAUAUCGUAGUGUCUUGUCAUAUUGGUGCUUGUUCUUAAGAGAACACUACGAUUUCUCGCAAGGAUUUUCACACUACGAUCUUUUCACACGACGAUCAUCACUUGCUCGUCUUGCAGACUCAACGUUUCCGAGAACACACUACGAUCUCUGAGUUAGCUUUAGCAAACGUCUAGACCACUCUACGAUUUUUGAAGAGGUCCUUCAAGGCAAAUACACUACGAUCUUCUAAGCUCUACGAUCUUGUCUUGGCUUCUGCAAUCUGUUGAUCAGCUUGAUAGACUACAAUUCCUGUUGAAGCCUAUCUAUAUGUUUCACGAUAGAUCAACCUAACAUCUUUGAUCUCUUUAUCUAUACAUUUG
rnacentral:lncRNA from 1 species